UACGAAGGGGGCUAGCGUUGCUCGGAAUUACUGGGCGUAAAGGGAGCGUAAGCGGACAUUUAAGUCAGGGGUGAAAUCCCAGAGCUCAACUCUGGAACUGCCUUUGAUACUGGGUGUCUUGAGUGUGAUAGAGGUAUGUGGAACUCCGAGUGUAGAGGUGAAAUUCGUAGAUAUUCGGAAGAACACCAGUGGCGAAGGCGACAUACUGGAUCAUUACUGACGCUGAGGCUCGAAAGCGUGGGGAGCAAACAGG
rnacentral:rRNA from 1 species